rnacentral:lncRNA from 1 species
CAAUCUCAAGUCAUCUUAUAUUGUAGCUAGUACACUUCUUGCCUAUUACAUGUUUGAUGAAAUGCCUAGCUGGUAAUUUGAGCUGUUUGUGUUUGAUUUUGGUGCAGAAAAGUGGAGAAUGGGCGAUUACUCAUGAUCUGUGUAAUGUUAUCGCUGUGGUUAGUAUGCUAUCUAUGUUUUAUACUUUCUCUGUUUCGAAAAAAGAAUGAUCGUAUUCGAAUUGCAAGAUUAAACUAUCUAAGCUUUUGUCAUAGUUAAAGUUUACCUUUAGUAUUACAAUUCAUAAAUUUUGAUAUUAGAUGGUGGUGUGUGUGAACAAUGUACCAUAUUGGUAGUUGAAAAGAAAAAUAAGCUGUUGAAUACUCUUAAAAUGGUGUGUGUGAUUGAUGCUGAAUAUUGGGAAAUAGCCUAAAUGGUAAAGUUAUUGGAACUUGUAUCUAAGUGCUUUGUAUUAGAACAAAAUGCCUCGUUAUUGGUUGUAGAUUGUUUGCAUAAUGCACUUGAAAUGGACGUCCGAGUUAAGAUAUAUAUCACGAGCAUACGGAAAUUGCAUCCGGAUUGAUCUGUGUUUAUGGGAGCUAACUGUGAAAGAGCCCUUUCUUCUAGCUAUUAUUUGAGUACUGUGAUUCACAUUAAAAAUUCAUGUUCUACAUUCACAUUAUCGCACUCAUUCAAAUUGUUGUUUUUGGUUGCAUGUCGAAUUGCAUUGCUGCUAAGAUCAGAAUGUACCAUAAUCUAUUUCUGCAAUCAUAAUUAUGUUGUUCUCUACUGAAUUUUUGUUGUUUGUAUGAUUGUCCUGUUUAUUAGGUUGUAGCAUAAGCAGGGGUGGAUCUUGGAGGGGGCGAGGGUGUUCACCCAACCUCCUCGGCUAAAAAUUACAAGGUAUAUUUUUAUAAAGCAACUUGUUAAUGGAUAUAUAAACUUGGAUUCCCCUAAACACAAGGCUAGUUAGUGGUUUAGGGAAAUUAAAAAUUCACCUUGAGAUUCCUAGUUCAAAUCCCAAGCACUACAUUUUCAUUUUUCGACCCGGCUCCUUAGUGAAAAUUGUGGAUCCGCCAUUGAGAAUGAGGUUGCAGAUCUUCGACUUCAUGUGGCAGGGACUUAGUCUCGUAGUCUUUCGGUCUAUCCACACUCUCUCUUGAUUCUCUCCUCAUAAAAAGGGUAGCCAUGUCCCAUGGUUCACAACAUAUUUGGUGAUGCAUUUGAGAAAUCUCUUUGAUUCAACCUAUUUGGUGAUGCACAUAUAAUCUUGCAGUUAAGAGGACUUCUUCUUACGUGCCAUUUUAGUCAUAACGGGCAGCACAAGGGGCUGCGACAUUCAAUCUUUAAGGUUCUUAGCACUGAACUCAUUGUACCCUUGAUAUUAUGAGUUUGAAAUAUAAUAUUAUUGAAAAUUUAGUGGUCUUUUGUGUCUAAUAUGGUUUCAUUUGAACCUAUUGAGCAAAGGUUACAUCCACGGUCUAGUUAUAUGACAGAAAUUUAAAUGGGAUUGGACGGCCCCUUCCUCAAGGGCGUUGUGUUUCCUAUAUAGUGUGUUCAGGGAAGAUCUAGAAGGUCGGUUGCGGGUUCACAUCAACCCAAUAGUUUUUGCCCAGAGCCCCUGAUACUGUCUCUCUAUAAUAACUAAUCCACUUAAUAUAUAUAAAUAUUUGAUUGUGAACUCAGUUAUUAUUGUAUUAUUCACUUGAAAUCACAAUAGGAAUUCAUUAUCUGUGCAUGGACUGGACAUUCA